rnacentral:rRNA from 1 species
AGAGUUUGAUCCUGGCUCAGGACGAACGCUGGCGGCGUGCCUAAUACAUGCAAGUCGAGCGAGCGGAACCGACAGAUUUACUUCGGUAAUGACGUUGGGAAAGCGAGCGGCGGAUGGGUGAGUAACACGUGGGUAACCUGCCCAAGAGACUGGGAUAACAUUUGGAAACAGAUGCUAAUACCGGAUAAGAAAGCAGAUCGCAUGAUCAGCUUAUAAAAGACGGAUUUCUGUCACUCUUGGAUGGACCUGCGGUGCAUUAGCUAGUUGGUAAGGUAACGGCUUACCAAGGCGACGAUGCAUAGCCGAGUUGAGAGACUGAUCGGCCACAUUGGGACUGAGACACGGCCCAAACUCCUACGGGAGGCAGCAGUAGGGAAUCUUCCACAAUGGACGCAAGUCUGAUGGAGCAACGCCGCGUGAGUGAAGAAGGUUUUCGGAUCGUAAAGCUCUGUUAUUGGUGAAGAAAGAUAGAGGUAGUAACUGGCCUUUAUUUGACGGUAAUCAACCAGAAAGUCACGGCUAACUACGUGCCAGCAGCCGCGGUAAUACGUAGGUGGCAAGCGUUGUCCGGAUUUA